rnacentral:rRNA from 1 species
UACGUAGGGUGCGAGCGUUACUCGGAAUUACUGGGCGUAAAGCGUGCGCAGGCGGUUUUGUAAGUCAGAUGUGAAAUCCCCGGGCUUAACCUGGGAAUGGCAUUUGGGACUGCAAGGCUGGAGUGCGGCAGAGGAGACUGGAAUUCCUGGUGUAGCAGUGAAAUGCGUAGAUAUCAGGAGGAACACCGAUGGCGAAGGCAGGUCUCUGGGCUGACACUGACGCUCAUGCACGAAAGCGUGGGGAGCAAACAGG